rnacentral:tRNA from 1 species
CGGCGCGUGGGAAAGUCUGGUCAAUCCGCCUCGUUCGGGACGAGGAGACCGCCGGUUCGAAUCCGGCCGCGCCGA